ACCGCGUGCAUCGAUAUGAUUAUAGAUUUAAAAAAUAUGUCCAAACAAAUCUACGCAUUAUUUGGGCCAUGGGUUAGUGGCAACGUCAUUUCGGGACAGAAAAAAUAAAAUAGUGUAAAUAAUGAAUUUGAAAACAACGGUUGUCUAAAUAAUGAUCUCAAUUCGCUGUCAAAAGAAGAAAUCGGUUAAGUUUUUGAAGAAUCGCAAUUUUUUACAAAGAAAUUAACUGCCUUUCAUAAAUUUGUCACUGAAAUAUCUGCAAUGGGAUUUCAUUCCUUUCUUCAAUUUAUAAAUAUACUGAAUGUGAUUUGGCUCAGUUGUUUUCUGCAGAAUAUUGAGACCAUACCAGUUGCUAGUACAAAAUUUUUCAUUCCUGAUGUUGCCAACUCGUCUGCAACGACAGAAUAUUCCAAUAAUGAUGGAAGCAAAGUGAUGACAAGGCUUAUAUCUUCGAGAGAA